CUUGUUUUCAGAACUCCCCCUUUCCCCGCACCCCUCUGGCCACCCACGUGGUCCAAACAGUCCUGUCACAGAGAGGUGAAGAAGUCCUCUUAUGUCCUGCGCCUCCUUUGGACAGAACUGGUGCAGACCACAUUCAUCAAGCAGAAAAACCUCGGCUAGGAGAUCCUCGAAACACACAGAGAAAGCCACGACUAAAGCAAAGUGACAUGCAGCCUUCCUGAAGCAAAAGGCUCGCUGGCCUGGAAGGAAUCGCAGACACCGAGGCCCCAAUCUGUUAGAUUCGGUUUCAUCUCGGAUCCUUCCGGGGCCUGGUGGCGCACACCCGUGAUCCCAGCACUCUUCGAAGCUGAGGGAGGAGGAUCUCAGGUUUGAGCCACAAGCCGGGCAAUUUAGUGACUUAGCAAGAUGCUGUCUCAAAAUGAAAAAGGGCUGGAGGCGUAGCUCAGUGCGAAGGCCCUGAGUUCAAGCCACAUUACCCUCCCCCUAAAAAAAUUCUUCCAGGGUUUUAUAUUCAGCUUACAAAUCUUAUUUUUUUUCUACCUAUAAGUAGAGCAAAUUGCAGCUAUCUCUUUUUAGUCCCUUUCAAAGAAACAUUAGCCAAUACUUGGUUACAUUUGUAACCUUAGGAAAUUAAGUCUUCAAAUAGUUUAAAGUGUGUGUGUGUGUGUGUGUGUGUGUGUGUGUGUGUCUGUGGUGUGUGUGGUGCUGGGAAUCUAACCCAGGGCCUCAGGCUCACCACACAAGGAAGUGCUGUACCACUGAGCUACACCCCCAAACUUCACUUUUGUUUUAAGGGCAUCAAUUAUCUGAUCAACAAAGCAUUUAACCUAAUAAAUUAUGCCUCUAAAUACAAUGGACAUGAAUAUCCACUUGGCUGUAUCUCGAUAGUAUGGCCAUGAUACAUUUUAAAUUAGAAAAACAUGAAUCUCAUUUUAAUAGAUCAAGUUUUGUUAAAUAUUACCAGUAUGCAGGAAUACCAAACAUGGCCUGCUCAACACAAAAAUAUUAAUGUGAUGGCUUUAAUUAUUUUAAACCUUUGUGUAUGUCAUCUAAGAUGUCCCACAGACUAAAGGUAUUUACCCAGGGAAGGGGCUGACCAGAAGCCUUGCUUACUGUAAUCAUCUGGUCCAGAACUGUUUGGUUGGGCAGAAGUUCUGAAGAGGAGGGCUUCCUGGGUGCUGCCUCUUACAACAACUGAGCAAAGUAUUAUAUCAUCCAAGGAAGCCUGGGAUCGUCCACUCAGCGUCCCCGAGUCACGGGCUGCCAGAGGUCUGGGUGGUUUGGCGGUGGCAAGCUGAAUGGACUCCUAGUGGCCACGUAACUUGGACAGGGAUGGAGUCACAUCUCCAGGCUUGAGCUGACAGUGGUCUGAAUCGCACUGCCACUUGAUUUCCCGAUCGGACCCCUUCUUUGGCCCCUAGGACCUGUAAAUGUCUCUACCACUGUAAGUCACAGGUUUUGCAUCCAACAGAAUCCAAAGAUACAUGCUCAUAUCUAAGCUACUUGAGCCUUUGUGGAAUCCUACCUUCUUUGGCUACUGAAGGUUGGGCACCUCUCGUGACUUUAACUUAUAGUCCCAAGGUAUCGAGUCAGUCUACACACACCCCUCUCUGAGCCCCUAUCCUCAGUGUCAUGGAGUUGCUGAGAACUGUGAGAAAAUGUGCAUGAAAUCACUCGUGAACCACGAAGGACUACACAAACAUUAGUGCCUUGCAUGGAGGGAAGCGUGGAAGAGGUAUUUAGUGAUAGAGAUAGAUAGGUAGGUAGAUAAAUGAUCGAUAGAUAAUAGACAGGAGAGAGAAGAAAGAGAGGAUGUUGGUUUUCGUGAACCCAGAGAAUGUGGCAAUGAAGGAUCACUUCUGGCAAGGCACUGAAGCAAAUCGCACCGCCGACUGGACUGCGAUCCACCCUGACCAAUGGGCAGGACCCUUGCAGGCCCCAUGGAGAGCUGUGCAGAAGCCACUCAGCAUGCAGCUGCCCGGGCUUGGCGGGGCAGGCAGGAGCCUUCCGCCCUCCCGGCCCCUUGCACGCUCCUCCUGCCUGCCCUCCCGCACAGUUCUGCCCACCUGUCCUUACUGCUUAGCCUUGGCUCUGCCUUUAGAAAACCCUAAUGGGUGCGGAGGGGAGCCAAGUGCUGGCUUCUGACGGGGUGACACCCUUGUCCAAACUGUGGCCCCGAACCUGUCCCACAUGAGGUGUCCGUGAUCUCAGAGGCAAGGACCUUUUCGGGAGAUCAACCUGGAGCCUCCACCCACAAGUUAGGAGGCCCGGAGCACUCAGCCUCCAGCGCUGCUGGUUCCAGGACCCAGCUCCCCUCCAUUGCUUCAGCCUCGAAGCAAAUUACAAUAUGAAUAUACACCAGAAGAGUUUUUAAAACGAAGAUAACACACAAAGAAAAAAGCCUCACUUGGAAAGCUUUUGGGUUCUAUCACCAGAACCCACGGCCAAAUGACCUCCCUGGAUCACAAGGUCCCCGGCUCUAAGGGCGAGACUGUAUGUCACGCAGCCAGUCACUCCACAGCAAGUCUGCAUCCAUCUCCACUGCAGGCUAUGCUCCUCCAGUCCUGCAGUGUGGCGUCCACGCCCGGCACAGAGGUCAUGGCCAGGGCUUCAUGGGGCCCGGGAGGAAGACUGCAGGCUCGCCUUUAGGGUGACCUGUCCGGGGGCUGCUGUCAUGCUGGGGACGCUGAGUUACUCACCAGGAAGUCACCUCUGCGGGACUCAGACUGCUCAGGGAGGGCCUGGGCCUGGCCUCCGAUGGCAGCUGCCCCGAGCACACUUCCGGGAAGCCACUCCUGGGACAUCCUUACUUCCUGCUCUCUGCCCAGAGUCUGGAAGGAAGAUGAGGCCUCCUCGGUGGCAGCAUCCAGCUGUGCCUCCCUCUUUCCUGGCCUUCAGCCUGCCUCACCCCUUCCACAGACUCUUCCCUCCUCCGGCCUGGGGUCUUGGUUCCCAGAGCGGGAAGGACCCGGCCCUGCCCACCAGCCUCCUGGCUCCACACCCAUCGCUGGGUCUUCCGCAGAUUGUCUUCAUCCCCUGGCACAAUUGGAGUUCCAGAGAGAGCAAACCGUCUGGGGAGCACUGCGUGGAGCCCCGGACUUCAGGCCCCGGCAAAGGGGAGUGCUCAAUGACCUGAGUCUAUCCUUGUUCGUGGCAGAGUAGUGCUCCACUGCAUCUAAGCACUACAUCCUCUUUAUGCAUUCAUCUGUCGGUGGACACCUAUACGGCAGGAAGAGAGAUCUUUCGCAAAUGAGGAGAGAACCAAGAGAUGAAGAAGAGGGGAGGGGAGAGAGGAGGGGCGGAAGGUGUGUGAUGCACACGGGCCAGCACCCCACAGUGAACGCAACCACGCACUCAAACAUGGACUGAAAAAAUAAAAGUUUGAAAUGAGCCACAAAGACUCCCGACCCGACCCGCGGGCCGUGUGACCGUCAGUGCGUGUUGCAAUUGGCCCUGAGUCUGGGGCCGACGUGCAGCUGUCCCUCACAGAUGUACUCCCCCCCCCCACAUCACUCCAUCCUGCCUGCCAGGGACCAGCCUCUGGGUGACACAGCCGGCAUCAGGGAGGAGGUGUCAGCGGCGGCCGGAAGAAAGCUGAGAUCCUACUUCCCUCCAAAUGGGAGUGGGUGUUGCUAUCCAGGAGGUCUUUAGCUGCUCCCGAAGUAUCGCAGGUGAUGAUGGGCCAGAAGAGAACAUUUUUUAACCCUCAGGGUAGGUCUGACAUAAGGCAGGGGGCAGACUACACGGUCCUCGUGUUAAAGUUUUUAGUUUGCUUGGAAAUAACCACCCAGCACGAUCUCCUGAGCACUCACUCCAAGCAGAGUGUUGGUCCAGCCCGGGGCUUGGUCAUCCCUGAGCCAGGGCCGGUGCUUCAGGGGACAGCCACCAGCACCCUCCACAGAGAAGCUGAGACUCGGAGUCCCACGGCCGGCCAGCAGGGGGCAGGAGUCCACAGCAGGCGCCCCAGCUCCAGAUCCAGGUGCUUAAACACUGUGCCGUUCAUUUUGGUGAGCGAGGAGGAGGAGGAAAUGUUCCCCAUACUCCCAACACCUGGGAGCGACCACAAAUAAUUCUGAUGUUUUUCGUAACAACACAGAGCUCACACUACACACACAAAUGUGUGUCCUGCGCCUGUGUUUCUCAGUCGACACGCUAUGGGUGUCUUCUGCAAGCGCCGGAAGCAGGCAGGCCACCCUCAGGAUGUGCUUCGAGUCCCAGGUCCUCCCCUGCAGCAGACAACUGCAGGCGCUGUGCAGAGCGAUCCUGAGUCCAGCUGCCCAUCGGGGUGGGUACACAGGGCUCUUCCCGUGUUUGGGAUUUUUGAGUUGCAGUGGAUCCCACCUGGCGUUGUGGCCAGAACAGAGGGUGCAGAGCCCCCAGGAGGCUCGGAAGCCGGAGGGAGGGGACCCGCUGUCUGGAGCCAGGUGCCCCUCAGCGACAUCCCUCCUGAUCAGGCGCUUCACAAAGACAAGAGGACUACUUGCUUUCAGAAGGCUGGGAUUCUGUUGUCUUCAGUAGCGGAGCCUUCUUCCGGAAGCUGUAAAAUUUCAAACCUAAUGCCUGGUAAACUCCUCUAGUGCUUGCGUUUCUUAAACUGCCUCAAGGCUGUAGCCGCAGCCCUUUGCGUUUUUUAUUGUUUCUUUCGGAGCUGUGCGUUUGUGAGUCCUUGUGUGCAGUGUGUCAGGAUCACGCUCAUCCCAGGGAGUCGGUCCAUGCGUGGAACCCACCCUAAUCCCCUCUGCGUCCGCCCCCUCUCUCUGUCUCUCACUCCCCAUCCCUUUCCCAGAAGACCUGUCUCUCUGCGUCCCACUCUCUGGCUUGCAUUUUGCUCUGCUAAGCCGACCUCUCCUGGCCACCUGCCUCUUGGUUCUCACUGGGCUCCACCAUGCCCCCCAUUUCUCUAGAUCCUCAAAGGAACAAAAAAGUCCUUAAUCCCAUAAACACAAAACUAUACUUUUUUAGGAAAAAUAAUUGAAACGAAUUUUUUUCCACUGUGAUGGCUAAAUGACCCAGGAAGAGCAGGUGGCUUUCCGUCUUCU
rnacentral:lncRNA from 1 species